rnacentral:rRNA from 1 species
UACGAAGGGGGGCUAGCGUUGCUCGGAAUCACUGGGCGUAGAGGGUGCGUAGGCGGGUUUUUAAGUCAGGGGUGAAAUCCUGGAGCUCAACUCCAGAACUGCCUUUGAUACUGAAGAUCUCGAGUCCGGGGAGAGGUGAGUGGAACUGCGAGUGUAGAGGUGAAAAUUCGUAGAUAUUCGCAAGAACACCAGUGGCGAAGGCGGCUCACUGGCCCGGUACUGACGCUGAGGUGCGAAAGCGUGGGGAGCAAACAGGGAU